CCUACGGGGGGCUGCAGUGAGGAAUAUUGGUCAAUGGGCGAGAGCCUGAACCAGCCAAGUCGCGUGAGGGAGUACUGCCCUAUGGGUUGUAAACCUCUUUUGUCGGGGAGCAAAAGCCGGACGUGUCCGGCUGUGAGAGUACCCGAAGAAAAAGCAUCGGCUAACUCCGUGCCAGCAGCCGCGGUAAUACGGAGGAUGCGAGCGUUAUCCGGAUUUAUUGGGGUUAAAGGGUGCGCAGGCGGAUUUUUAAGUCAGCGGUCAAAUCGUGGGGCUCAACCCCAUCCAGCCGUUGAAACUGGGGAUCUAGAGUGUGCGAGAGGUAUGCGGAAUGCGUGGUGUAGCGGUGAAAUGCAUAGAUAUCACGCAGAACCCCGAUUGCGAAGGCAGCAUACCGGUGCACAACUGACGCUCAGGCUCGAAAGUGUGGGUAUCAAACAGGAUUAGAUACCCGAGUAGUC
rnacentral:rRNA from 1 species